UGGAACCUGAUGAUGCGAGCCCGGGUGGCCUCGUACCGCUGAGCCAGCUGCCGGCUGCGGUACAGCGCCUGCAGGCGCCCGAAGCCCAGCAGCACCUGGGCGUGGUGAAGAAAGAAGAAGUCAUUAUGGUUCCAAACUAUCGAGACAAACUGGGAUGUAAAUUGGGAUAAGCAGAAGACAACAAAAUUCGCAUGUUUACCUGUCCGUGGCCAGGUGUUCUGGACAGCAGAAAGCCACACUGGGACAAAGACAGAGGAAGAAAGGACAAGAUCAGAAAACGAUGCCAGGAGAAUAGACAGCUAACAGGUGCAGGAUGGCAGCCAGCAGCUUGCUAAUGUCCCAGUGCUCAGAGUCUGAGAACAUGAGGAUCUUCAUAGCCGAGCGGAUGUGGGCAUAAUCCUUGGCGUCAUUCCGGCUGUCGCAGGACAUGCAGUUACCCUGCAAGCACCACACCAACAGGUUCAGUGUGGCUGCACGGUAUAAUGGGGCUCCUGCCAUAGCUCCACAUCCAAAUCAGAGCAAAUUGCUGAUGGUGAAGACUGUGACGUCACAUUUUAAGUAAUAAAGCUCAAAAAAUUAUUAAGUGUGCAGCAAGACACUGGCACAGGCUGCCCAGAGAAGCUGUGGCUGCCCCUUCCCUGGAAGUGUCCAAGGUCAGAUUGGACAAGGCUUGGAGCAACUUGGGACAGUGGAAGGCACCCCUGCUAUGGUGGCACUGCAUGAGCUUUAAGGUCCCUUCCAAUCCAAGCCAUUCUAUAAUUCUAUGACGAAUGCUGUACCGA